UCAAAAGGAGACCUCUAACAACUCACGGUUUGAAACCUGGCUCUUGGUCAGCAUUGGCGGUUGGGAGACAAGGCUCCCGAAGUGGCAGCAAGCACCCCAGCGGGCAGCAACCUUCCUGGAGCUCGGACGCCCCUGCAGCCCCUCCCUGGCCAUUGAAGGCAUGUGAGGUUGUGACCCAUCUCACUCAAGGGAGAUCACGAUGCGGUGCUAUCAAAAUGAGGUUCUCCAGGACAUGUGUUCACAACUUAAAAAUGUCAACUGACCUUGCCGGGGACAGCCACCUGUGUGGUCAGCAGACUCGCCCCCUUGGACAGGGGAUAGACCUGGGUAGCUGCCCUUGUGGAAGGGGUGAGGCCCGAGGAGUGGCAAAGGAGACCCCCAUGUGUUGAGAAAUGGAAUUCACAACCAUUCCAGUCCAGCGAAGCCCAGUAAGCAUGCACGGAGCCAUCCCCACAAGCCCUUCUGGGCCAUCAACAGAAGUCAUGCGGGAAUAGCUCCGAUGAUCCCAGCACAGUGUCAGGAUGCCUCCAGGAGUCAAGCUCCGCUCUUGGCCCCUUUCUCUUUUAAACCCAUGGAACACAAAGUGUCCAGGUGACAUCAUUUUGUCUGGGGGAACUUGGUUGCCUCGGAUGGGGCCCGCCCUCCCAAAUGCAGGAUCCUUGCUGACCCCUGGG